rnacentral:lncRNA from 1 species
GCAGUGAGCACCCAGUCCUUGGGCGCUGAGUAGCACCUAGGCGACGUGCGGAAGACACAGCCAUGCAGGCUGACAGGAAAUUAAUUGUGCACCAGCAGGUCUACCUUUCGUGAAGGAACAUGGAAGAGGAAAGAAAUGACAGUAAGACUGAAUUAUGAACUCUUAGAAGUUGAGAACAAGAACUGAUUGUAUUGUGAAAGCUGAAUUCACUACUCGCGAUUAACGCUGGCAAUAGCAGUUGGCGGUGAUCACAUGCAUGAGAUUGCUGUAGCAGAUGGAGCACAUGUAUUACUCACAUAGGUUAGAAAAGACAAAAAGAAAACAUUUAUUCCAGUUUUCACUCCAGUGUUUAAAGAGCACCACAAACACAACUUUAAAAGUCUGAAUUCCUUAGAAACUGACACCAGGGGUCUUCUCAUUGUCUUCUCCGCAACUCCCUUCAAACUUGAGACAGAGACUGUCCUGUUCCAAAACUAGGUUUCCUUCUCCUCAGAUCUGGGCACUUCUGACCAAGAUGAGUUUGUGUCCCUGCCAUUGCCUUCCUACUUUGGUGAUGACUAAAACGAAGACACCUCAUUUACUUCUUGGGCAUCUCCUUGAGUCAACUACCACCUCUCCCAGGGUCACCCUGCUGCAAUCAUGUCUCCCAGAGACCCCCCCCUUACCAAGUGAUGGAGAG